rnacentral:lncRNA from 1 species
CUUAUCUCUCUAAACUAGAAGUGGAAUGGGAAGCAAGCAGAGGCCUUCCUCUUCCUUCUACUUAUCAUCUCAUUGUCCCUCUAAAUUUGUCUCUGUCCCUGGACCUUAACCUCCCACUCCAAGGGCAGGACAGGGCAGGCUGAUAAGCCCUCUCUGAAACCACUGGUAUUGAAGCAAUUAUUCAGCAGCUGCAGCCCUCUGCAGCUGAGCAGAGAUUGCCAUCUCUGUUCAUGGCAACACUGUCCUCGUGCCUCCCUAAUACAUCCUGGCCUCCAGACCUUAUUUAUGGCACCUUCUGGCUGAGCUCCAAAGGGACACAGCUUGGGGAUCUUUACUGUCAUUUCUUUGGACUCUGUCCUUAAAACCAAGUUUAUCAACAAAUGCUGCCCUUGACUGUAGCCUGAUCUGAGCCCUCAGGCUUUCACCCAACCUCCAAGGACAGAAUUUGGUCACCAUUGUUCCUUCUAGACACUUGAGAAUAAGGAAGAGUGCAGAAAGGCUGUGCUGGGCCUUAAAUUCACCUUCAGGAACAACUCUUGGCCCAAGCUGCCUUAUCACAAAGAAUGAUAGCAGCACAUCACUGCAGGAGAGCUUGGAGUUGCUACUGCAGUCCCAGGGAUGUGCUGGAGUUGUGGAGACCUCCCUGGGCAGAGAGGAAGCCUUGCCAGCACCUGGCUGUCCUAAGCAUCCAUUUAUAGAUCUGAAAUCCUAG